rnacentral:misc_RNA from 1 species
GAUGAAGAACGUAGCGAAAUGCGAUACGUAAUGUGAAUUGCAAAUUCAGUGAAUCAUCGAGUCUUUGAACGCACAUUGCGCCCACUGGUAUUCCGGGGGGCAUGCCUGUCCGAGCGUCAUUGCUGCCCUCAAGCACGGCUUGUGUGUUGGGCCCCGUCCUCCGAUCCCGGGGGACGGGCCCGAAAGGCAGCGGCGGCACCGCGUCCGGUCCUCGAGCGUAUGGGGCUUUGUCACCCGCUCUGUAGGCCCGGCCGGCGCUUGCCGAUCAACCCAAAUUUUUAUCCAGGUUGACCUCGGAUCAGGUAGGGAUACCCGCUGAACUUAAGCAUAUCAAUAAGCGGAGGA